rnacentral:rRNA from 1 species
GGCCAUGUCUCGGCGAAACUCCGUUUCCCGGACGAUUACUGAAGUUAAGCAACGUCGAGCUUGGUCAGUAGCUAGAUGGGUGACCGCUUGGGAAUACCAGGUACUGCAGG